AUCAUUUUGAGGUUGCGUCG
rnacentral:misc_RNA from 1 species